rnacentral:rRNA from 1 species
AGAGUUUGAUCCUGGCUCAGAACGAACGCUGGCGGCGUGCCUAACACAUGCAAGUCCGACGUGAAAGGGGAGCAAUCCCCCGGUAGGGUGGCAAACGGGUGAGUAAGACAUGGGUGAUCUGCCCUGGAGAUGGGGAUAUCCCUCCGAAAGGGGGGGCAAUACCGAAUAGUAUCCGGUUCCGUGAAGGGGACCGGGGAAAGGGAGGCCUCUGGUACAAGCUUCCGCUCCUGGAUGAGCCCAUGGCCCAUCAGCUAGUUGGUAGGGUAAAGGCCUACCAAGGCGACGACGGGUAGCUGGUCUGAGAGGACAACCAGCCACACUGGCACUGAGACACGGGCCAGACUCCUACGGGAGGCAGCAGUGAGGAAUAUUGCGCAAUGGGGGCAACCCUGACGCAGCAACGCCGCGUGUGGGAAGAAGGCUUUCGGGUUGUAAACCACUUUUGCCCGGGACGAAAGGGAGUGCCCGAAUACGGCAGUCCGAUGACGGUACCGGGAGAAUAAGCCACGGCUAACUCUGUGCCAGCAGCCGCGGUAAGACAGAGGUGGCAAGCGUUGUUCGGAGUUACUGGGCGUAAAGAGUCUGUAGGUGGUCUGUCAAGUCUUUGGUGAAAGGCCGUGGCUUAACCAUGGGAAUGCCAAAGAGACUGGCAGACUGGAGGCUGGGAGAGGGAAGCGGAAUUUCUGGUGUAGCGGUGAAAUGCGUAGAUAUCAGAAGGAAGGCCGGUGGCGAAGGCGGCUUCCUGGAACAGACCUGACACUGAGAGACGAAAGCGUGGGGAGCAAACAGGAUUAGAUACCCUGGUAGUCCACGCCCUAAACGAUGGGUACUAAGUGUGGGAGGGUUAAACCUCCCGUGCCGCAGCCAACGCAGUAAGUACCCCG